rnacentral:ribozyme from 1 species
GCAGAGGGCAGCCGAUUUAAUCGGCUGUAAUGCACAUCUCGGUCCCAAGUCCGA